GACGAACGCUGGCGGCGUGCUUAACACAUGCAAGUCGAACGGGAGUAUCGAAGAAGCUUGCUUUAGAGAUACUUUAGUGGCGGACGGGUGAGUAACGAGUGAGGAGCUGUCCUAUGCAGGGGGACAACAGUUGGAAACGACUGCUAAUACCCCAUAAGCCGAGAGGUAAAAGGAUUUAUCCGGCAGAGGAGGUACUCGCGUCCUAUCAGCUAGUAGGUGAGGUAACGGCUCACCUAGGCGAAGACGGGUAGCCGGCCUGAGAGGGCGAACGGCCACACUGGAACUGAGAUACGGUCCAGACUCCUACGGGAGGCAGCAGUGGGGAAUAUUGGGCAAUGGGGGGAACCCUGACCCAGCGACGCCGCGUGGGUGAAGAAAUCCUUCGGGAUGUAAAGCCCUGUUGUAUGGGAAGAGCGGAAGACGGUACCAUACGAGGAAGCCCCGGCAAACUACGUGCCAGCCGCCGCGGUAA
rnacentral:rRNA from 1 species